AGGACGAACGCUGGCGGCGUGCUUAACACAUGCAAGUCGAACGGAAAGGCCCGCUUGCGGGUACUCGAGUGGCGAACGGGUGAGUAACACGUGGGCAACCUGCCCUCAGCUUCGGGAUAACACUUGGAAACAGGUGCUAAUACCGGAUAAUAACCUUUCAUCGCAUGGUGUGGGGUUCAAAGUUUUUCGGCUGGGGAUGGGCCCGCGGCCUAUCAGCUUGUUGGUGGGGUAAUGGCCUACCAAGGCGACGACGGGUAGCCGGCCUGAGAGGGCGACCGGCCACACUGGGACUGAGACACGGCCCAGACUCCUACGGGAGGCAGCAGUGGGGAAUAUUGCGCAAUGGGCGGAAGCCUGACGCAGCGACGCCGCGUGAGGGAUGACGGCCUUCGGGUUGUAAACCGUCUUUCAGCUCUGACGAAGCGCAAGUGACGGUAGGAGCAGAAGAAGCACCGGCCAACUACGCGCCAGCAGCCGC
rnacentral:rRNA from 1 species